rnacentral:sRNA from 1 species
AUUGCAUCAUUCGCCGACAGCCGGACGGCCAUGUUGGGCUGAGCGAGUUGGAACGU